GACGAACGCUGGCGGCGUGCUUAACACAUGCAAGUCGAGCGGAAAGGCCCUUCGGGGUACUCGAGCGGCGAACGGGUGAGUAACACGUGAGUAAUCUGCCCUUCACUCUGGGAUAGCCACCGGAAACGGUGAUUAAUACCGGAUACGACCACCGUGGGCAUCCGCUGGUGGUGGAAACUUUUUUUGGGUGGGGGAUGUGCUCGCGGCCUAUCAGCUUGUUGGUGGGGUAAUGGCCUACCAAGGCUUCGACGGGUAGCCGGCCUGAGAGGGUGACCGGCCACACUGGGACUGAGACACGGCCCAGACUCCUACGGGAGGCAGCAGUGGGGAAUAUUGGACAAUGGGCGGAAGCCUGAUCCAGCAACGCCGCGUGAGGGAUGACGGCCUUCGGGUUGUAAACCUCUUUCAGCACCGACGAAGCGCAAGUGACGGUAGGUGCAGAAGAAGGACCGGCCAACUACGUGCCAGCCGCCGCCGUAAGAC
rnacentral:rRNA from 1 species